UGCGGCAUGGCCGAGUGGUAAGGCGGAGGACUGCAAAUCCUAGCUUGUUCUCCAGUUCGAAUCCGGGUGUCGCUU
rnacentral:tRNA from 1 species